rnacentral:rRNA from 1 species
GUCUCAGUUCGGAUUGUAGUCUGCAACUCGACUACAUGAAGCUGGAAUCGCUAGUAAUCGCGGAUCAGAAUGCCGCGGUGAAUACGUUCCCGGGUCUUGUACACACCGCCCGUCACACCAUGGGAGUCAGUAACGCCCGAAGCCGGUGACCCAACCUAAACAGGAGGGAGCCGUCGAAGGCGGGACGGAUGACUGGGGUGAAGUCGUAACAAGGUACC